UACGGAGGAUGCAAGCGUUAUCCGGAAUGAUUGGGCGUAAAGCGUCCGCAGGUGGCUGUGUAAGUCUGCUGUUAAAUAGUGAGGCUCAACCUCAUAAAGGCAGUGGAAACUACACGGCUAGAGUGCGUUCGGGGCAGAGGGAAUUCCUGGUGUAGCGGUGAAAUGCGUAGAGAUCAGGAAGAACACCGGUGGCGAAAGCGCUCUGCUAGGCCGCAACUGAUACUGAGGGACGAAAGCUAGGGGAGCGAAUGGG
rnacentral:rRNA from 1 species